GCCAUCUCGCUCUCCUACGUUCCCGUAUCUUUUUAAAAUUAAAUCGAUUCUUAUUGCAAUCGUACCGAUUGUGAUACUCGUAUGCAUGUGAAUCAUCGCGUCUUUUUCUAUUCCAGUGGUCUUGGACCAGAAUAAUUUUGGAGACGCCCGCUGGAGCAACGUAUUCACUCGAGUCUUGUUCAUUGAGACGACUAUGCGCGUAUACGUCUUUUUAAGAAGAGGAGAACGAUAUUGCUGCAUCGGUACGAAAAUAGAGAAUGAAAAUUUUGCGAUUUGCGUAAGCCACGGAAGAACGACAGAGGCAUAAAAAUUCAUGUGGAACUUAUGGUUUGGAAUCGAGACAAGAUCUUGUUACGAGUAUAAAAUGUUACAGCGUAUUGUAUCCGAGAGUAAUGUUGCAUUGCUUCGAUUAAUUGAAAGAUGAUAAUUGAAAUUUCGGUCGUUCGAGACGAUGAUCGUGAAAAAAUUUCAAAAUUUAAAAAACUCGUGCUUGAAUCUUUGACAGGCUCAGUAUCAAUUCUAAGAUUAUGAAUAGAUUUGAAUUAAUCGCGAAUUAUAAAGUGAUUACAAAAUUUCUUAUAUUCAUAUUAAAACGCUGCUCAAUUUCUUUGUAACUGCAUAGAUUUCAAAUUUUGAUUGUAUACGCAUAUUAUAUUCAAAUCAAACGGUUAGUUUUCUGGGUGCAUGAUGUAAUUAUUUUGAAUAGAAAUCCAGCAGCACAUAAAAUCGCAUAACAUUGACCGAUUCGUCUGUUAAAUGCUAAAACGCGAAUCGAACGAGCAGUAGAAAACUCAUUGUGCGAUAAAACUCGAGAUUUUAUAUCUUUUCUCGAAAGAUUCCAUCAAUAAUGACAAACGUUAGUCACGAUUUGUAAUAAAAUAUUUAAUAAAAUGAUUGUUAUUGAUAAUUGUUGCCGAAUAAUAAGGAUUGGAUAAUCCGACUCACGCAACAAUCAACGAGUUAUCUGGAGAAUUUGAGAUUUGGAAAAGAUCCAAAAUAUAUGCAACUGAGUAAUAUGUUGCAGUAAAUCUUGUAAACUAUUAUUUAUUAUUGAACGGAGUAAUUGUCGUAUGUUUAAUCCAGCCGUUGAGGGAUUUUUAGCUUUGGUAGGCUCUAAUUUUCUAAUGUUUCCUAUGUAAUAAUUGAAUCGCAGUUUAUUCAAAGAAUAUUGUGAAAAUUACGCGAAUAUCACGUGGCGACAUAAAUCAAACAAGGAAACUGAUAUGUUUUUGCCAAAUGCAUAGCUACAAUUGCGCCAAUAUGAGUUUCUCACGUUAUAACAACCUUGCAAAAUUAUUCCGUGAUAUACACAUAUUAAAUGCUCUAAUAAACAUAAAUUUAAUUAAAUCUUUCAUUCUUAAGAUACAAGAAUUUUAAAUAUUAUAUUUCAGCAAAUAUUAAUUUAAAUUACGAAUUAUAUUAUACAAAAUAUAAACAACUCUUAAUGCAACAAAAUGCAAAUGAUAAUGGCAUAGUACGAUAUAAAUGAAUGUUUGCAUUUUCACUUCUGCAUAAGAAUAGAAUAUACAAUUUGGCGAGAGAUUUUCUUUCGACGGGUUAUACGUUGGCACGUGUCCAAGUUAAACAAGCAAAUAAAGCAUUAGAAUUGGUCGUGUUGGACUGCAUAUAAUGGAUUACAAUCUGCGAUCCGUUAUAAUUCGUCAUCAGUAAUAGAAUCGGUUUAAUUAAUUCGAACGAAAAUAUUCAGUUGCCGCAAACGACGGUAAAUUAUAACUCGAACUGUUGUAAUGCAAAUAUUAUCGAUCCACGUAAUAAUAAUUUCCAAUUAUGAAAUUCUUUCCAUAAUAAGCGAUUGAUCUUCAUUAUAUUUUUUGGGCAAUUUUAUAUUAUUAAUCAUUUUCAUAUCUAAAUAUAAAAUAUGCAUAAUUUUUGACAU